CUAAUAAGAUUAAAAUACACUGAUGAAGUAACCAAUAAUGUUACUAUAAUCAAAUAAUAACAUAUUAAUAAUAUUAUCAAUAAUGUUGUUUGUCUAUACUUUUAAGGGGCAUCAUUAGGCAACCACUCAUAUAAUCUUGGGGGACGUUAAUAAGAAUGUCAAGUCGAAUAUCCCGCAUUCUCACAUUAAACAGUAUUUGAUUAUAGUGAAUAAUAACAAUUAGUAUAUUAUAUAACGUGCAUGCGAACGUC